UACGGGGGGGGCAAGCGUUGUUCGGAAUUACUGGGCGUAAAGGGCUCGUAGGUGGCCAACUAAGUCAGACGUGAAAUCCCUCGGCUUAACCUGGGAACUGCGUUUGAAACUGGAAGGCUAGAGUGUGGCAGAGGGGGGUGGAAUUCCACGUGUAGCAGUGAAAUGCAUAGAGAUGUGGAGGAACACCGAUGGCGAAGGCAGCCCCCUGGGCUAACACUGACGCUCAUGCACGAAAGCGUGGGGAGCAAACAGG
rnacentral:rRNA from 1 species